GACGAACGCUGGCGGCGUGCUUAACACAUGCAAGUCGAGCGGUAAGGCCCUUUCGGGGUACGACGAGCGGCGAACGGGUGAGUAACACGUGGGUGACCUGCCCUCAGCUCUGGGAUAAGCCUGGGAAACCGGGUCUAAUACUGGAUAUGACUCCAUGACGCAUGUUGUGGGGUGGAAAGCCUUGUGCGGCUGAGGAUGGGCCCGCGGCCUAUCAGCUUGUUGGUGGGGUGAGGCCUACCAAGGCGACGACGGGUAGCCGGCCUGAGAGGGCGACCGGCCACACUGGGACUGAGACACGGCCCAGACUCCUACGGGAGGCAGCAGUGGGGGAAUCUUGCGCAAUGGGCGAAAGCCUGACGCGGCGACGCCGCGUGAGGGAUGACGGCCU
rnacentral:rRNA from 1 species